rnacentral:tRNA from 1 species
GCCACCGUCGCAUAACCCGGUAUUGCGUCAGUCUCGAAAACUGAUCCCUCUGGGAUUCCCGGUUCAAAUCCGGGCGGUGGCG